ACUGGGAGCGUCCGAGGGGGAGGGGAGGGCUUUAGACCUCCACCGGGGCGGGCUGGAGGGACCCAAGCCGGGUCGGGGACCCCUUCACCAGCUCUCCUGGCAUCUAGGAUGGGCCUGCCCUUCCAAGCUCGGAGUUUCACUCCUGUCCCAUAGCACAACGACCUGGCGCAGGAGACUUUGCCCCUCCCCCCACCCCACCCCCAGCAGAGAGCCUCCGUAGCCACAUCUGUAAAAUGGGGAUUAAAGACCCGGUAAAGACUUGAGCUACAAGGAUGAGAAAUGAGAGCCGAGAAAUGAGAGCUGGUCAGGGGCUAGGGCAGGAGUCCAGGGCCCUGCGAUGGGGGCGUUGCAGGAUGGAGAGGGGUCUUGGGGGGAGAACGCUGCGAGGGGCUGGGGGCAGCACUGCUUGGAGAGAAACGUGGCGUGGGGGGAGUGUGUGCUGGUCCCCGCGAAGACUCCUAAUGAAAUCGUGACGACCCCUGCCUCCGACCGGCACCCUCUAGGAGGAGAGACAGGAUCAUCUCCUUGGAUUUUUGGUGUCUGUCUGUACCGAGGUGGAAGGCAAAUUGAACAGUUCACCAUCUCGAUUUCCAAAACAAACAAGCCUGGACAGGAGUGCUGGGCCCUGUGGAAACCACUCACCCUCCACUUUCCGUCACCAGCACCUGGCCCCAGGUCACCUUGUCCUUGUGAGCCAGGGUCCAAGAUAAUGCAAGUUUAACAACUUUUAAAAUAAGAAAAAAGCAAAUAUAUAAUAAUGAAUCCAG